rfam:Dipodomys ordii contig_39990, whole genome shotgun sequence.
GGGAAGUUGGCUCAGUGGUAGAGUGCUUGCCUCACAUGCAUGAUGCCCUAGGUUCAAUUCCUCAGCACCACA